AGCAAAUCCAAUUUUUGGCAAAAAAUGUCAGUUACGUGGUUUUACACAAUGACGAUACGCGGUUUCGUACUUUCAGCGACAAUUUGACAAAUUCUACAUACCGUUACCUUAAUUCACAAAGGCCCUACCGUAGGGAUGCAGAAAAAACAUCGAUGCAUCGAAAAUAUCGAUGUUUUGCUUCGAUGCAUCGACAAUUUUCCACUCGAUGUAUAAAUUGUCGAUGCAUCGAGGCAUUGAUGCAUCGAUGUUUUCUCUAAACUGACAUCUCAAGUACAUCGAACGGCCAAACAUAGCUUUGUCUGAAGUUCAUAGAGAGGAAGAUGCAGUUUUAUAGCUCAUAAAAUGUUCUUAAUGUUUUAUAUCCAUAGUGGAGGAAAACCCUAUGCAUAUCGAUGCAUCGAUGUACUCCCUCCGAUGCUUCGACAAAUAAAAUAUUUUGGUAGGAUGUAUUAACAUACACCCAAAUGAAAUAAAUUGAAAUACUCAAUACAAAAAUACGCUCAUCAAAUGAAAUAAAUUUACAUAAAAUAAAAAUUGCAAUGCAGUGUGCGGUGUGUAAGCCAACGCAGGGACCCGUCUGAAAAAAGAGCUUUUUUCCGUUUCCCGGAGGACCCGAAACAGCAAGAAAAAUGGUUGAAGUUUUGCCGGCGAUCUAAAGAUUUUAAACCAAAAACGUGGAGAAUUUGUAUGGACCAUUUUAAAGACGAACAUAUUAAAGGGAAGUUAGCUUUUGAAUUGGGACUACAAACCAGAAGACGUUUGCAGCCCGGCGCCGUUCCAUGUAUAUACACAACCGCUCAGCAGCAGUUGAAGAGGCUGGAAGAGGAAAAAACAAAAAGCGAUACAUAUUUUAGGUGACUUGCCAACAUCUAGUGCAACAGUUUCGAAGCCGCAGACAGACGCAGCCGUAGUAGCCGCAAAAAAUGCAUGCAAAAUAGAAGCAGGCAUGCGACCAUCGAGUGCUCUUUCCAAGCCGCUCAGCCCAGACGCAGCUGUAGUAGCCGCAACAAAUCCAUGCAAAAUAGAAGUAGGUAUGGGACCAUCGAGUACUCUUUCCAAGCCGCUCACCCCAGACGCAGCCAUAGUAGCCACAACAAAUGCAUGCAAAAUAGAAGUAGGUAUGCGACCAUCGAGUGCUCUUUCCAAGCCGCUCACCCCAG